CCUACGGGGGGCAGCAGUGGGGGAUAUUGCACAAUGGGGGGAACCCUGAUGCAGCGACGCCGCGUGGGUGAAGGAGUGCUGCGGCAUGUAAAGCCCUAUCGGCAGGGAAGAAGAAAGACGGUACCUGACUAAGAAGCCCCGGCUAACUACGUGCCAGCAGCCGCGGUAAUACGGAGGGGGCGAGCGUUAUCCGGAUUCACGGGGUGUAAAGGGAGCGUAGACGGCCAUGCAAGCCAGGGGUGAAAGCCCGGGGCCCACCCCCGGGACUGCCCUUGGAACUGUGCGGCUAGAGUGCGGGAGGGGCAGGCGGAAUUCCUGGUGUAGCGGUGAAAUGCGUAGAUAUCAGGAGGAACACCGGCGGCGAAGGCGGCCUGCUGGACUGCGACUGACGUUGAGGCUCGAAAGCGUGGGGAGCGAACAGGAUUAGAUACCCGAGUAGUC
rnacentral:rRNA from 1 species